rnacentral:lncRNA from 1 species
AUGCUGGUUGCUCUGACCCUGAGCAUAUGUAUCUCCAUAUGCUGCUCCACUUGUCAACAAAACAUUCACUUCAAACAAAUGAUGUUCAGUAUUCAACUUAAACUUUCAGUUAUUGCAAGUGAUUGAUGUAGCAUCUAGGUUGUAAAUGUAUAACUUCAGUUUCCUUUGGGCAUGAACAUGGCAAACAGCUCCUCAGUGUGGUUUGAAAAACUUCAUGCUGGAUUUGGAAAUGGAGUUGUUACUGGUUCAAUUGGCUUUUUUGGAGAGAGAAAAAGGAACCAUUUUAGUUUAUUGCUCCUGCAAGAGGAGUUUGAGUAA